rnacentral:misc_RNA from 1 species
GUUCGAGCGUCAUUACACCACUCAAGCCUCGCUUGGUAUUGGGCGACGAGAGCACCUCGCGCCCCCAUUUCACCGGCUGGACGGACCGAACCUCAGCGUUGUGGUUAUUCAAAUCGCUGUCGGGUCGAGACGGACGCGCCGUUAAAACCUCUUUAUCACAGGUUGACCUCGGAUCGGGUAGGGAUACCCGCUGAACUUAA